UACGGAGGGUGCGAGCGUUGUCCGGAAUCACUGGGCGUAAAGGGCGCGUAGGUGGCGCGGGAAGUCAACGGUGAAAGUUCGGGGCUCAACCCUGAAUCGGCCGUCGAUACUCCCGGGCUCGAGCACUGUAGAGGCAGAUGGAAUUCCGGGUGUAGCGGUGGAAUGCGUAGAGAUCCGGAAGAACACCGGCGGCGAAGGCGGUCUGCUGGGCAGUAACUGACGCUGAGGAGCGAAAGCGUGGGGAGCGAACAGG
rnacentral:rRNA from 1 species